rnacentral:tRNA from 1 species
UGCCCUGUGGUGUAACUGGCAACACGUCUGAUUCUGGAUCAGAAGAGUUCAGGUUCGAGCCCUGGCGGGGCAA